UAACGCGUGAGUAACCUGCCUCAUACAACGGGAUACCUGAGGGAAACUUCAGUUAAUACGGUAUAAGACCACACUGCCGCAUGGCAGAGGGGUAAAAGGAGCAAUCCGGUAUGAGAUGGACUCGCGUCGCAUUAGCUAGUUGGUGAGGUAACGGCCCACCAAGGCGACGAUGCGUAGCCGACCUGAGAGGGUGAUCGGCCACAUUGGGACUGAGAUACGGCCCAGACUCCUACGGAAGGCAGCAG
rnacentral:rRNA from 1 species